UACGUAGGGUGCGAGCGUUGUCCGGAUUUACUGGGCGUAAAGGGCGCGUAGGCGGCCUUCUAAGUCGCACGUGAAAUCCCUGGGCUCAACCCAGGAACUGCGUCCGAUACUGGAAGGCUUGAAUCCGGGAGAGGGAUGCGGAAUUCCAGGUGUAGCGGUGAAAUGCGUAGAUAUCUGGAGGAACACCGGUGGCGAAGGCGGCACCCUGGACCGGCAUUGACGCUGAGGCGCGAAAGCCAGGGGAGCAAACGGG
rnacentral:rRNA from 1 species